GGCUCCGCUCCGCGCGUCAGGAGCAGUCAGAAGGGCAGAGGUGCCGCGACGGUGGCCGAGGGAAGCGGCAGGCGCUGAGGCGGGCUUUGGGGCAACGAUGGAGCUACAAGCUGCUGAACAGUAAAGCACCAAAAGCAGGAGCAUCUCUUUGGUUUUGCAGGGUAUGAGGAGCAGGGAAAACAGAAGAAACAACCAACAUUUUAUGUUGAAAUAAAUAAUCAACUUAUUAAAUUUA